GGGGGGGGCGGACCACACAGAGGAGACUAAGGUGUGUCCCCGUCUGUGCCACAUCUGUGCCACAUCAUGUUGUCAUCGGGCCGAAGCGGGAAAAAAAAGGGACACGGCCCAAAGUUUUGUUUGGUGAACUGAAACCAUAAACUCUCCCACCAAAAGGUUUUCAGGUGACUAAAUUGGCCAGAUAUGAGUGCAAACAAUGCUUGUUGGUCUACUUUUUUGCCCUUUGUAAUUAUGCUCUUUGUUCAAACUAUGCACUCUCUUUGCUUAUGACCACUAGUAUCUACCACAGACUUUUUUUUCCGCCCUUCAUAAAUAGGUUUGUUUUGUUUCCUUUUUUUUUUAAAUCUUCAAAUGACUUGAACCAGUUAUGUUAAGAUAACUCAUUAUGCUUGUAGAUCUUUGGCUUUAUUUGUCAUUGGGAUGCAGUACACCCAAAAUUUAACACUUUCCUCUCAAUAAAUACGAGAAACAAUUUUGUAAAUUUCCAGAACCAGCAGUGAUUCUGCCAUUGUUUCCUUUCAUUUCAGUUUGUAGAUUUCCGUUUGUUUGUCUGUUUAUUUGUUUUCACGGUCUUGUCAAACCUGUGUAAGGAUAAGAGGAUAGAAGUUAUAUUGGUUUUUAUGUCAAUAAAUUCAAGUUUACUGUGGCCAUCCACUCUUGUAUGUCUUUUGAAGCAUUAAAACCUAUUUGUAUGCAUGAAAUUGUAAAGUUUUUUUCUCGUGUUAUGAUAUCCAGCCCACGUGUUAUUGAUCGGGAUACAUCGGUUCUUCAAUGAUGAAUAAAGGGUCAUGUCCACAAUUGUGAAGUGGAGAGAAAAUGAUGAACUUGUAACUUACCAAAGCCAAUGUUCGUUUGUAGUAUAUUUAUUGUAUUAUUUAAAAUAAAAAAAUAAACAUUAAAUGAUACCAUAGUUUAAGUGUAAGAGGCCCCCUCUUUACAUGCACACAGGACAACGAAAGGUUUUGUUAAAAAAAAGUGAUAUAUUCACCACAUUUCUUGUUACUGGAGCCUUUCGCGAAGCGUUUGGCAACAUCUGUUUUAAGAUACAGCUGUGCUUGUGAGGUUUGCUAGAUGAAUGACAGGUAAGGCUACUGUCCACUCAGCCUCGUGGACGGUUGGUCGUGUCAAACAGCCGCGGGGCUGCGGCCUCGUGAUCGGGACGUGCGGCUUCCCCUCC
ensembl:lncRNA